GACGAAGGGGGCUAGCGUUGUUCGGAAUUACUGGGCGUAAAGAGCUCGUAGGUGGUUUGUCGCGUUGUUCGUGAAAACCGGGGGCUUAACCCUCGGCGUGCGGGCGAUACGGGCAGACUUGAGUACUGCAGGGGAGACUGGAAUUCCUGGUGUAGCGGUGGAAUGCGCAGAUAUCAGGAGGAACACCGGUGGCGAAGGCGGGUCUCUGGGCAGUAACUGACGCUGAGGAGCGAAAGCGUGGGGAGCGAACAGG
rnacentral:rRNA from 1 species